rnacentral:tRNA from 1 species
UAUUCCAAACAGGAAAUUUACAAGAAGAAAAUCUGUCGUUUUUUUUAAACUAUAAGAAU